rnacentral:pre_miRNA from 8 species
CAGCUGGAGGGAUUCCUGGCAGAGUGAUUUGGGAUUAUAUCAUAAAAUCACAUUGCCAGGGAUUUCCAACCAGCU